rnacentral:rRNA from 1 species
GCUCGUAGUUGGAUUUCGGGUGGGUUUCAGCGGUCCGCCUAUGGUGAGUACUGCUGUGGCCUUCCUUACUGUCGGGGACCUGCUUCUGGGCUUCAUUGUCCGGGACAGGGAUUCGGCAUGGUUACUUUGAGUAAAUUGGAGUGUUCAAAGCAGGCUUACGCCGUGAACAUUUUAGCAUGGAAUAACAUGAUAGGACUCUGCCCUAUUCUGUUGGCCUGUAGGAGUGGAGUAAUGAUUAAGAGGAACAGUCGGGGGCAUUCGUAUUUCAUUGUCAGAGGUGAAAUUCUUGGAUUUAUGAAAGACGAACUACUGCGAAAGCAUUUGCCAAGGAUGUUUUCAUUAAUCAAGAACGAAAGUUGGGGGCUCGAAGACGAUUAGAUACCGUCGUAGUCUCAACCAUAAACGAUGCCGACUAGGGAUUGGCGGACGUUUUUGCAUGACUCCGUCAGC